GACCUAGGAAGAGUAAGACCACAGGCAGGUCCCAGUGGUCGGAAGAACAAACCCAAACCCUCGCCAAAGGAGACGCAGAUUGCAGGUAACUUCCUUUGUUUCAUUUUGACAGAAAAGACACAGCACAUUCCGCUUCCUUUCCCUCCAGGUUCCCUGUCUCAAGACAGUGAGGUAGCCAGGGAUAGAGGCGAGCACUUCUACAUGCAUGUGCUUGCUGGCUUUAUUUUGCUGUAAGUUAAGUUUUCUUUUACAUUUAUUUGUGUGCAGUCACACCACAGUGUGUGCAAGUGGAGGUUAGAAGACAAUUUAUUGGAGUUGGUUCUCUUGCCUCAAAUACAGAAGUCUGAAGGAUUCAGGCACGGUGACAAGAACCAUGGUCCAUGGAGCCUCUCACAGACCUCUUGUUUUGUUUUUAAACAGAAAAGUCUUAUCAAAAAUAAAAUGUUAAGGUCAACUGUUAGACCAUCAUUGGAAGAAAGUGGCUGUUGAUCUUUUGGUGUACAGAGCCUUAGAUACAUGUUCCAUAUAGCUCUCUUAGGUGUUUAAAAAUUACAUUAAAUAUGUUAAGCUAACUUAAUAUAUGAUACCUCUUACAAGCAUAGUGCUAAGUGAGAGAAGCCUGUUGCAAACCCCACCCCAUGUGUGGUUCUGCUUCUCUGGAGUCUCGGAACUGGCAAAUCCAGAGUCAAGAAGCAGUUUGGUAGCUACUAACAACUGAGAAGGACUAAGGGAGAAGACAGGGCCCCUAAGGGAUGCAGAGUUUCUGGGGUGAUGAAAGUGGCAUAAAAUUACGGGAUUGAUGCUGAGCUACCUAAAACACAGAUCCUUCCACCUCCCUCGCCCAUGUGCAUGGGGAGUGGGAGUGCAUCACCAUAUUUCACAUGAUAAAAUGUGUUUAAAAAUACAAAUCAAGGGUUCCGUUAUCAGUCUAUCAAAAACUACUGUCAGCUACAUAUAGUGGCGCACGCCUGCAGCCCUGCACGUGGGAAGUGGGGGCAGGAGAAUCAGGAGUUCAGUCAUCCUCUGUUACAGAUUGAAUUCCAAGCCAACCUGGGCUACUUAAGACCUUGUCCC
rnacentral:lncRNA from 1 species